rnacentral:tRNA from 1 species
GGGGUUGUGGCUCAGUGGCAGAGAGCCCUUGCCUCGAACGUGUGAGGCACUGGGUUCAAUCCCCAGCACCA